UAAAUCCCCAGCUAACUCUGUUAAGAUAUCAUUUCAUUGUCUUCUGAUUUCUGUGAUUUGUGCUAAAAGUUCUGUUGUAGCUUCAGUAAGGUGAACUGUAUCUUUGACUCACAGCAAUAAGAAUUAGGGGAGUUCCUAUCAUUCCUGGUCCACUGCCAGGCUCUGAAUCACCUGUCAAGAUGCUUGGCAGGUUCCUAAGAAGUCACCGCGUUUGACUCUGCAUCAUACUCAGCCAAGAUGAACUGGAAGAAGGUGAGCUUGACAGCUGCUGGAAAAACAUUCGUGCUUGGUUCUUCGCCCACCAGUUUGCUGAGAAGGGCCUGCCUGCCCUGAAAUUUUUUUACAGAAGCAUUGCUUCAGGCUCACUCUAAAAGUCUGGCCUUUCUCUUUGAAAAUGUUUUCUCCUGUAAUUAAGGGAUUUUCUAAUUUGAGGAAUAGGUAAAAAAUUCAUCAAAUUUAUAUUUUCAAAAAGUCAUAAACCCGAAGCUGCUAAAAUCUAGCUCCAGGGAAAUCCUGAAUUGAGGAAGGAUGCUAAUCAGGACAGAAUUGAAGACAAUAGUUUAUCAUCUUCAUUCUCAGGAAAGAGAAUAUCCCAAGGAAAUGCCAACUAAAAAAGUAAAAUCACUCACUGAUUUUGCAUUUUGAGAAACUGACCAACUUUCCUGAUCAAAGGUGAGUCUGAGUCAAGGUUGGACAGAUAAAGUAAUCCUCCAGGGCACCUCCCCCUUGGGUCUUCACAUGCUGUGAUUUUGAAAAAACAGGGGCAAACAGAGACCUCCCCGCUAAGGAAAUGAAGGAUGCUUGACUUCCAGUGCCUGGAUUCUACUACAGUGUGCUCUGGUCCAUGCCAGUGUCAGGCUGGGAGAAGAGUAAUCCCUGUCAGGCUAACUGCAAAAGUUAAAGGGAAUUGCUACUCUUCCAUUAGGGAAAGAAAGGCAUUUUAUCCUCCUCAUUAAUUUGCUGAGGCUGGAAACUCCAGGGCUGUCCAGCUUGGUGCACCGUUGGACCACUGGCAGGAUCUAGCAGACAGGUGCCCAGGCCUCUCUGAGUCUCCAGCCCCUGUGCUGUCCCUCAGGACUACAGGACU